GCCGGUCCUCGGUAGUGGCUUCCGGAUCCGUCCGCCCGCGUCGGCGGGCACCGGAUCCGGGUGCUUCGAUCGAAGACCGGC
rfam:Actinomadura sp. CNT-125 NODE_269_length_10461_cov_89.1563_ID_14143, whole genome shotgun sequence.